AGAGUUUGAUCAUGGCUCAGAUUGAACGCUGGCGGCAUGCCUUACACAUGCAAGUCGAACGGCAGCACGAGAGCUUGCUCUUGGUGGCGAGUGGCGAACGGGUGAGUAAUAUAUCGGAACGUACCCUAGAGUGGGGGAUAACGUAGCGAAAGUUACGCUAAUACCGCAUACGAUCUACGGAUGAAAGUGGGGGAUCGCAAGACCUCAUGCUCAUGGAGCGGCCGAUAUCUGAUUAGCUAGUUGGUGGGGUAAAAGCUCACCAAGGCGACGAUCAGUAGCUGGUCUGAGAGGACGACCAGCCACACUGGAACUGAGACACGGUCCAGACUCCUACGGGAGGCAGCAGUGGGGAAUUUUGGACAAUGGGCGCAAGCCUGAUCCAGCAAUGCCGCGUGAGUGAAGAAGGCCUUCGGGUUGUAAAGCUCUUUUGUCAGGGAAGAAACGGUGGACUCUAAUACAGAUCACUAAUGACGGUACCUGAAGAAUAAGCACCGGCUAACUACGUGCCAGCAGCCGCGGUAAUACGUAGGGUGCAAGCGUUAAUCGGAAUUACUGGGCGUAAAGCGUGCGCAGGCGGUUGUGCAAGACAGAUGUGAAAUCCCCGGGCUCAACCUGGGAAUUGCAUUUGUGACUGCACGGCUAGAGUGUGUCAGAGGGGGGUAGAAUUCCACGUGUAGCAGUGAAAUGCGUAGAGAUGUGGAGGAAUACCGAUGGCGAAGGCAGCCCCCUGGGAUAACACUGACGCUCAUGCACGAAAGCGUGGGGAGCAAACAGGAUUAGAUACCCUGGUAGUCCACGCCCUAAACGAUGUCUACUAGUUGUCGGGUCUUAAUUGACUUGGUAACGCAGCUAACGCGUGAAGUAGACCGCCUGGGGAGUACGGUCGCAAGAUUAAAACUCAAAGGAAUUGACGGAGACCCGCACAAGCGGUGGAUGAUGUGGAUUAAUUCGAUGCAACGCGAAAAACCUUACCUACCCUUGACAUGUCUGGAAUCCUUGAGAGAUCAGGGAGUGCUCGAAAGAGAAUCAGAACACAGGUGCUGCAUGGCUGUCGUCAGCUCGUGUCGUGAGAUGUUGGGUUAAGUCCCGCAACGAGCGCAACCCUUGUCAUUAGUUGCUACGAAAGGGCACUCUAAUGAGACUGCCGGUGACAAACCGGAGGAAGGUGGGGAUGACGUCAAGUCCUCAUGGCCCUUAUGGGUAGGGCUUCACACGUCAUACAAUGGUACAUACAGAGGGCCGCCAACCCGCGAGGGGGAGCUAAUCCCAGAAAGUGUAUCGUAGUCCGGAUUGUAGUCUGCAACUCGACUACAUGAAGUUGGAAUCGCUAGUAAUCGCGGAUCAGCAUGUCGCGGUGAAUACGUUCCCGGGUCUUGUACACACCGCCCGUCACACCAUGGGAGCGGGUUUCACCAGAAGUGGGUAGCCUAACCGCAAGGAGGGCGCUCACCACGGUGGGAUUCGUGACUGGGGUGAAGUCGUAACAAGGUA
rnacentral:rRNA from 1 species